CACGUAUAGGAGGUCUUGCCUGCCCAGUGACAAGUUAAACGGCCGCGGUAUUUUGACCGUGCGAAGGUAGCGCAAUCACUUGUCUUUUAAAUGAAGCCCUGUAUGAAUGGUGGAACGAGGGCUUAACUGUCUCCCCUUUCAAGUCAAUGAAAUUGAUCUGCCCGUGCAGAAGCGGACAUAAAACUACAAGACGAGAAGACCCUUUGGAGCUUAAGACUUAAGAUCAACUAUGUCAAGAAUCCAAAACAAAAUUAAACUAAAUAGCACCUGAUCCCUGUCUUCGGUUGGGGCGACCGCGGGAGAAAACAAAGCUCCCACGCGGACCGGGAUAACAUCCUAAAACUAAGAGAGACAUCUCUAAGUCACAGAACUUCUGACCACAAAGAUCCGGCACUAUGCCGAUCAACGGACCAAGUUACCCUAGGGAUAACAGCGCAAUCCCCUUUAAGAGUCCAUAUCGACAAGGGGGUUUACGACCUCGAUGUUGGAUCAGGACAUCCUAAUGGUGCAGCCGCUAUUAAGGGUUCGUUUGUUCAACGAUUAAAGUCCUACGUGAUCUGAGUUCAGACCGGA
rnacentral:rRNA from 1 species